rnacentral:tRNA from 1 species
ACCUGGCUAGUUCAAUUAGAAGAGCAUGAGACUCUUGAUCUUGGGGUUGUGAGUUUGAACCCCAUGUUGGGUA